UGCUGCAAAGACAAACAGGACCCCUCACACAGUCUAGGGGAGAUUCCUGGCAGAUAAUCUGAGGGUGACCAAGCUUCACUCUUAACCAUGAUGAGGAGUUAGCUUAUUGGAUUUGUAUGUACCAACUUACUGAAAAUGUCCUGAGCAAGCAAACCAAAGUAUGCUUCUACACUUAUCCCUGAAGAACCAAUGAAUGCAUUAUGUCUACUUACGGUGCAUGUAUGAGAGAUUAAUGAUAGGAUUGUGGAGGACUCCAAAGCAGGAACAUUGACAGGAGACUGCUGUCCUCGGAGAGGCUUCACUCAGCAGCUCAUGGACACAGAUGCAGAGACCCACAGCCAAACAUCAGAGAAUCUUGUGGAAGAGGGGGUAGAAAGGAUUGAAGAAGCCAGAGAGGUCAAGGAAACCUACAGAAUCAUCUAACUUGAGUUAGAUGGGAUUCGCAGAGACUGAACAAUCAACCAAAUAGCAUGCAGGGUCUUGACCUAGGUCCACUAAACGUAUGUCACAUA